UGAAUGGAUUUAAAAGGUGACUGGAACACUUCUUUCUGACCUCAGAGAUGUGAUGGAUGUCCGGGAAGAUUUUCUCAAGGGCUAGAAAGUGAAGUCAUUAAGACUAGAGCUCCAGGCUUCUUCAUCCAACUCCAAGGGUUCCCAGCAACAUGUGAAGUCCUCUAUCUGUCACUAAGAAGCCGUGUGAGUGAAGCAGGCUAUAUACCUUGGUUUCAACAUCUGUGAACAAGAUGAGAAGAAUACACCUUGGCAGCUGCUGGAUCAAGGCAAAUGAGAGACCCAUGGAGCUCACUAAAUCCAACUCUACAGCUUGGAGCUAAGCCUAACUUAGCCAAGUCUAAACCAGUUUGACCUCAGCCAAUUCACAGAUGUUUGAGCCAGAAGUAAGGUGCUUGUUGCUGGAAGCCAGUUAAAUUUUGAGAUCUUUUUGAAAAAUAUAUUGUCAUUGCAGACAUAGAUGCACAUAGUUUUCCACACUGUGGGAAGUCAAAUUAAGCAUGCUUAGACUUUUAAAGCAGAAGCCCAUUAUUAGUGGGGUGGCAAAAAUGUUACAAGUGACAUAGUCCUCCAAUUUCCUUCUUCUAGCCCUCUGCCUAAGAACUAGUGUACUUCAUUUUGAAGUGGAGCCCUAACGGGAGUGUUCAUCUUCUGUCAACAGGGUUAAGCCUCUUGACGCUUACUGGGCACUCACAGUUGUUAGUUCCCUGGAAGACAUGAAAGAGCUUGAUUGGUUCUGUAGUCGUCAGUCAAUAACCAACUGUAACAUACCUACACUUCCAACAAAAUCUUGAUUUGGGAAAUUGAGUGUCUGCUUAUAGUUAAUCCUCUAUUUUUUGACACCUAGUAGGAAAAACAUUUUCAAAAGAGCCAUGACCUGACUCAGUUAAUAUGCAAGGAAAAAUAAGCAGUUCCAAACUUGUCAGUUUAUCCAUCAUCCCUUAUCCAAAAUCCUUCAACUCUCUUGGAAUUAUUUUGUUCUUCAUACUUGCCCAACAAAUAUCUUACUCUUGUCUUGGACUUUAUUUUAUAGUUAUCUCACAUAAGCUCCUUGUGGCUAAGGGCACAUAUUUGGAAUCAGACUACCCUAGUUCAACUCUUGGGUCUACCAUUUAUUAGCUUGUAUUACUUUGGGAAAGAUAAUUAAAUUCUCCAGAUCUAAUUUCCCCCAUUAUAAGAUAAUAAUAGUUAUUACCUGCUAGGAUUGUCUUGAGAAGUAAAUUAGAUAAUUCAUAAGAACCAUUUAACACAGUGCCAGCCACAUAAUGAAGGCAUAGUAAGGGAAAGUUAUUAUGCUGUUGAUAAUACUUGUCUAGGCAGGGGUCUCAUAUUUUUCCCUGUAUCCAUUACUGUACAAUUCAUCUGUCCCAUGACAUUCUAAGAUUGUUUUAGAGUGAGUUGCUUCAGAGUUGAAUAAUUCUAAUAAUAUAUUCUCAUGUUUGGAAACAACUUGGAAUUCCAUUUAGUGUAGACAUCAACAAUGAAAUCGCUAGAGGAUGAGUAAUUUCUACAAUUUUUAUUCAUUAUAGAGAGACCAAUGGGUAUAAUGGUGAAAAGAACUGAGUAGAAGGUCAGGAGGUCAAAGAGACUGAGUUUAAACCCUCACUCUGCUGAGUACUGUUAAUAAUGGUAUGAUCUUAAGAGAACUAAUCUUUAGUUUUUCCCACCUUAAAAACAGAGUUGUCAUGAGUAUUUAAUAAUAGAGGGUAGUAUGUAAACUUCCUGGCAUAUAGCAACUGCUCAACAAAUAGAAGUUAUAGUUUUUUCUUAACUUGCCAAAGAGCCAAGGGAAAAAUGAAGAUUUUGUAGCCAAAGCCAUUUAUCUUUCUCUGUUAUGUGCCUAUCUGUUCCAGAAACAGAAUCAAUUCCUUGAACCUCAUCAAAGGAAGGAUUUGAACAUUUAAAAAAAAAUCAAUCUCUUUGGGUUUGUUAUUGCUUGUUUCCCAUACCUCAGAGACACAAAUACAAACCUUUAUAAUGUCAUCAGGAAGAAGAGGAGUCAAACACUCCUUAACUCAAUAAUUGCAAUGUUAUUAUUUUGCAAGGAAUAGAGUCAAAAUUCCAUUCACAUGAGGACUGUAACUUCUUCAUUACUCCUUGAGGCACGAUGUCCUUGAUUUUAAGUAGCUCAUGUAGAAACUAGUUGUAAGUCUUUAGCGGAGAGACUGUACUGGAAUUAUAGGAUCUACUUAGGGGUUUGAGCUUCCCCACCCACUUAGAGUGACAGUUCACACCUAUAAAAACACAAAAGUCCGGGGGUUUAUUAAACAUUAGGAGAUCCAAAGAGCCAAGACUUCUACCUGUAAAAGUGGUGCUUCCUAAGCAGAAGAAAUGGAAUUUCUCAGAGAAUACAGCUUGGCUUGACCAAUGGACUGUACAAGGAAGAUUAGGAGGUAAUUACUGGGGUAAAAGAGAAAUGGUUGCAUCUUUCUGGAACACUCUAAUAAAACUGAAAGUUUUUCCUGAUUUCUUCUUUUAUUUGAUACAAGGGUCAAAUUUGAUACAUAAAGUCAUAAUGUCCCACAUGUACUUCUCAGGAACAUCUGUUUAGUCCUACUACAAAACUUGGGGAACAUGGUUUCCUAAUGUGGUACCAGUCGUCUCUUCAUGGAUGACUUCAGGAAGAAAUUCUGACUGGCAGACUCCACAAGUAUAAGACAAUAAGAGGCCAAUUUCUUUAUUCUUCUCCUCUUCUCCGCUUGUCCCCCCACCUCAUUAGCUUUGGGAGAAUAACACAGUGUGGAACAGAAAAAUAAGGAGCCUUGUUGUACUUCAUUGGCCUCAAGAGGUCUCAUCUAUUAAAUAGAUCCAUUAUGUUACUCUCAGAGAAAAUUAUAGUCAAAAAUAUUUCAAGUUUUAGGGCAGUACUGAAUAUAUAAGGGCUCUGUUACUUAAUCUCUGUGCUCUUAUCUUGGGGCGGCAAAGCUCAGUAGGGCUAUCUUGAAAGUAGCCUGAAAUCAAUUGGUCAGAUGAAAUCAAUUGGUCAGGAGGAGCCCAUCAGGAGGAUCAAGGACAUGGGUGACACAGUGAGUGUAAUUAUUAGUCAGGAUAGGUUAGGUUAGGCAUUAGUGGCAAAUUAUCUCCAAAUCUCAGUGGCUUGGUACAAUAAAGGCUUAUUGCUUAUUCAUGCAGCAUGUCUACUGCAGGUCCACAAGGGCUCUGUUCCACUCACAGAUCCAGAUUGUAACAUUCUUUGCCAUCUCAUAGCUACAUGAUCUAAACAUCAGCAGAAGGAAAGUGUCUUGGGUCAGGCUACCUGGAAAACAGAUCAAGAUAAAGAUUUCUGUGCAAAAAGGUUAUUGGGGAGGGAACUCUAAUUGAUAUCUGCCAGGGAUAGUGCAAGAAUGGUUGAGCAGACAAUUGUUGAACUACUUACUAUGUAUGUAGUAACAACAAAGGUCUUGACCAACCCAAAAGGGAGUCCUGGAGCUCAAAUGGUUCUUCACAGUUCUCUCACCUUAAGGCAAGGGACCUGGGCCUUUAUUAUCCCUUAUCAACCAGUCAUUUGAUUAGCUUGACCCCAGAGAGAGGUUAUGACCUUGAGUAAAGUGGCUCUCCUCUACUGAGGAUAAUUCCAGGAGAGCAACUCAGCUGAGAGCUGUCAGCAAUGGGAGGAAUCAGAGUCUCAGUCCUGAAGAGCAGAUCUGGGCAGCAUAUCAUAGCAUCCACCACAAGGGGGAAAGUGCGUGCACUUUUCAUUGCCUCCACCUGGGAGUGACAUAUGCCAUUUUUUGCUGUCAUUUCAAUGACCAAAAGGAGUCACAUGAUUCUAAUUGGAAGGAACCUGGG
rnacentral:lncRNA from 10 species